GACGAACGCUGGCGGGCGUGGAUUAGGCAUGCAAGUCGGACGGUAGGGCUUUAUCGUAAGAUAGAGUUUGAGAGUGGCGAACGGGUGAGUAACACGUAGGAAUCUACCCUUAAGACGGGGGAAACCCAGGGAAACUUGGGCUAAUACCGGAUGAGAGUGCGAGAGAUUGCAUUUAAAAGGAUGGCGAAAGUUGUCGCUUAGGGAUGAGCCUGCGGUCUAUUAGUUAGUUGGUGAGGUAAGAGCUCACCAAGGCGAUGAUAGAUAGGCGGCCUGAGAGGGUGUACGCCCACACUGGGACUGAGAUACGGCCCAGACUCCUACGGGAGGCAGCAGCUAAGAAUAUUCCGCAAUGGACGAAAGUCUGACGGAGCGACGCCGCGUGGAUGAAGAAGGCCGAAAGGUUGUAAAAUCCUUUUGUUGGGGAAGAAUAACCAUGGGAGGGAAUGCCCGUGGGAUGACAUGAACCGACGAAUAAGUCCCGGCUAACUACGUG
rnacentral:rRNA from 1 species